GUCGAGAAUUUUUCACAAUGGGCGCAAGCCUGAUGGAGCGACGCCGCGUGGGGGAUGAAUGGCUUCGGCCCGUAAACCCCUGUCAUUUGCGAUCAAACCUUAUUAUUUAAAAGAUGAUAAGCUGAUAGUAGCGAAAGAGGAAGGGACGGCUAACUCUGUGCCAGCAGCCGCGGUAAUACAGAGGUCCCAAGCGUUGUUCGGAUUCACUGGGCGUAAAGGGUGCGUAGGUGGUGGGGUAAGUCGGAUGUGAAAGCUCGGAGCUCAACUCCGAAAUGGCAUUGGAAACUACCCUGCUAGAGGAUUGGAGGGGGGACUGGAAUACUUGGUGUAGCAGUGAAAUGCGUAGAUAUCAAGUGGAACACCAGUGGCGAAGGCGAGUCCCUGGACAAUACCUGACACUGAGGCACGAAAGCUAGGGGAGCAAACAGGAUUAGAAACCCGGGUAGUCC
rnacentral:rRNA from 1 species